rnacentral:rRNA from 1 species
CCUACGGGUGGCAGCAUUGGGGAAUAUUGGGCAAUGGGCGCAAGCCUGACCCAGCAACGCCGCGUGAAGGAAGAAGGCGUUCGGGUUGUAAACUUCUUUUCUCAGGGACGACGAAAGUGACGGUACCUGAGGAAUAAGCCACGGCUAACUACGUGCCAGCAGCCGCGGUAAUACGUAGGUGGCAAGCGUUAUGCGGAUUUACUGGGUGUAAAGGGAGUGUAGGCGGAACUGCAAGUCAGAUGUGAAACCCACGGGCUCAACCUGUGGCCUGCAUUUGAAACUGUAGUUCUUGAGUACUGGAGAGGCAGACGGAAGUCCUAGUGUAGCGGUGAAAUGCGUAGAUAUUAGGAGGAACACCAGUGGCGAAGGCGGUCUGCUGGACAGCAACUGACGCUGAGGCGCGAAAGCGUGGGGAGCAAACAGGAUUAGAUACCCUAGUAGUC